GGAAGAGUGGCAGAGAGGCUAAAUGCAUCUGUCUUGAAAACAGAAGUUGGGAAACCAACCGGGGGUUCGAAUCCCUCCUCUUCCG
rnacentral:tRNA from 1 species